rnacentral:rRNA from 1 species
AGAACGAACGCUGGCGGCAGGCCUCAAACAUGCAAGUCUAGGGGGGUAGCAAUACCCACCGGCGGACGGGUGCGUAACACGUGGGAAUAUACCUUUCGGUACGGAACAACUGCGGGAAACUGCAGCUAAUACCGUAUACGUCCUAACGGAGAAAGAUUUAUCGCCGAAGGAUUAGCCCGCGUCCGAUUAGCUAGUUGGUGAGGUAAUGGCUCACCAAGGCUCCGAUCGGUAGCUGUUCUGAGAGGAAGAUCAGCCACACUGGGACUGAGACACGGCCCAGACUCCUACGGGAGGCAGCAGUUGGGAAUCUUGGACAAUGGGGGAAACCCUGAUCCAGCCAUGCCGCGUGAGUGAUGAAGGCCUUCGGGUUGUAAAACUCUUUCGACGGGGACGAUAAUGACGGUACCCGUAGAAGAAGCUCCGGCUAACUUCGUGCCAGCAGCCGC